GAUGAGCGCUAGCGGCAGGCUUAACACAUGCAAGUCGAGGGGUAUAGGUUUUCGGACCUAGAGACCGGCGCACGGGUGCGUAACGCGUAUGCAAUCUACCUUUCACAGAGGGAUAGCCCAGAGAAAUUUGGAUUAAUACCUCAUAGUAUAGCAGUUUCGCAUGAAACCACUAUUAAAGUUCCAACGGUGAAAGAUGAGCAUGCGUCCCAUUAGCUAGAUGGUAAGGUAACGGCUUACCAUGGCUACGAUGGGUAGGGGUCCUGAGAGGGAGAGCCCCCACACUGGUACUGAGACACGGACCAGACUCCUACGGGAGGCAGCAGUGAGGAAUAUUGGUCAAUGGACGAAAGUCUGAACCAGCCAUGCCGCGUGCAGGAUGACGGUCCUAUGGAUUGUAAACUGCUUUUGUACGAGAAGAAACAACAUUACGUGUAAUGUCUUGACGGUAUCGUAAGAAUAAGGAUCGGCUAACUCCGUUACAUCCGCCGCCGUAAAAC
rnacentral:rRNA from 1 species